rnacentral:rRNA from 1 species
GACGAACGCUGGCGGCGUGCCUAAUACAUGCAAGUCGAGCGCAGGAAACCGUCUGAACCCUUCGGGGGGACGACGGUGGAAUGAGCGGCGGACGGGUGAGUAACACGUAAAGAACCUGCCCAUAGGUCUGGGAUAACCACGAGAAAUCGGGGCUAAUACCGGAUGUGUCAUCGGACCGCAUGGUCCGCUGAUGAAAGGCGCUUCGCCGUCGCCCAGGGAUGGCUUUGCGGUGCAUUAGCUAGUUGGUGGGGUAAUGGCCCACCAAGGCGACGAUGCAUAGCCGACCUGAGAGGGCGAUCGGCCACACUGGGACUGAGACACGGCCCAGACUCCUACGGGAGGCAGCAGUAGGGAAUCUUCCACAAUGGACGAAAGUCUGAUGGAGCAACGCCGCGUGAACGAUGAAGGCUUUCGGGUCGUAAAGUUCUGUUGUAAGGGAAGAACAAGUGCCGCAGGCAAUGGCGGCACCUUGACGGUACCUUGCGAGAAAGCCACGGCUAACUACGUGCCAGCAGCCGCCGUAA